GUGAGACAGGUGCUGCAUGGCUGUCGUCAGCUCGUGUUGUGAAAUGUUGGGUUAAGUCCCGCAACGAGCGCAACCCUUAUCCUUUGUUGCCAGCGAUUCGGUCGGGAACUCAAAGGAGACUGCCAGUGAUAAACUGGAGGAAGGUGGGGAUGACGUCAAGUCAUCAUGGCCCUUACGACCAGGGCUACACACGUGCUACAAUGGCGCAUACAAAGAGAAGCGACCU
rnacentral:rRNA from 1 species